rnacentral:rRNA from 1 species
GACGAACGCUGGCGGCGUGCCUAAUACAUGCAAGUAGAACGCUGAAGGAGGAGCUUGCUCUUCUGGAUGAGUUGCGAACGGGUGAGUAACGCGUAGGUAACCUGCCUGGUAGCGGGGGAUAACUAUUGGAAACGAUAGCUAAUACCGCAUAACAGUAGAUGUUGCAUGACAUUUUCUUAAAAGGUGCAAUUGCAUCACUACCAGAUGGACCUGCGUUGUAUUAGCUAGUUGGUGGGGUAACGGCUCACCAAGGCGACGAUACAUAGCCGACCUGAGAGGGGGAUCGGCCACACUGGGACUGAGACACGGCCCAGACUCCUACGGGAGGCAGCAGUAGGGAAUCUUCGGCAAUGGACGGAAGUCUGACCGAGCAACGCCGCGUGAGUGAAGAAGGGUUUCGGAUCGUAAAGCUCUGUUGUAAGAGAAGAACGAGUGUGAGAGUGGAAAGUUCACACUGUGACGGUAUCUUACCAGAAAGGGACGGCUAACUACGUG